rnacentral:lncRNA from 10 species
GCAUAACAGAAAAGACGAAUGGCUUUUGUUUUAAACUGAGGGCACUUUUACAAAAGUCAUCUUUCCAUUUAUUUUUCUUUCAGAAAAAAGAAUUUGGGUUUUGAGCUUUUUUAAAAAAAAAAGACAAACACUUUCCUUGACUUUGAGAAAUAAUUUAAGUCAAAGAAUCUGCUCUAUGCUAACCAAGAGAUAGAGCACAGCAAAGAUCUGCCAGCCCCAGGCCUCUACCUAGUGGCCUGGAAAUUCAAGUAUUCUUAUUGGUGGAGGCCAUUUGUUUCUGAUUAGAAGCUGUCUAAACCUCCUACUCCUCAACUCAAAGGAAAACACAGAGCAUACCAUGGCCAAGAAAGUUGCAGUGAUUGGAGCUGGUGUGAGUGGCCUCUCCUCCAUCAAAUGCUGUGUGGAUGAGGACCUGGAGCCCACCUGCUUUGAGAGAAGUGAUGACAUUGGGGGAUUAUGGAAGUUUACUGUACGUGGUUCAUCUCUAUCAGUCAUGAUCUGGCCAUUUGCUUUGUCUCUGCUCAGACAUGGUGGCUUUAGCCUGCCUUGGUGAUCAAGUAAGGGAGUGGCUUACUGCAACGGCACAAACAAGUGCAUAAUGCAGUGUUAAACAUUAGGCAGGAUGCAGUCUGAUUGGUGAGGAAUCUUGAGAAUGCGCAGACUCGGGUCAGGGACAGUUGGAAGAGAGAGGAAAAAAGAGUUAACUCUGAUAAAUAAGCAUAGUAUUGGACAUUUAUGAUGAUUUCUGGACCAUGGACAUUCUAAGACAAAGCAGCAGAGUGUAACAUCAGGCAAACUGAAUAGCAUUGGUGAACAUAAAACAGAUUACACUCUAGGGAGAAUGGAAGUUGGCAACAGGGAGUGGAACCACAACCCCCAGACAUUGUUCAGGUCUUUAGGAACAGAACUGGCAAGAGUGAGGCAUGGCCCCAGAUCUUGGAAGGCCUUGUGGGAGGGGGAGGGUUCCCUGUCACAUUUUCAGAAUACAAAGAACUCAGGCACUAACCAAUCAUUCUUUGAAGUGGAAUAUUUAGCCUCGGAGGCUACACUCAGGUCCAGGCCACCUGUUAGGUGACUUGAGCAUCAGACAGUGGGGAUGGAAGUGGUUAAAUACCACCUGCCUCUGGUCAGGAUUGGUGCUGGUUACUGGAAGUAGCAGGGUAUCCAGUAGGGACUGAGGGAUCUGCCCCAGUAGUGAAGUAUAAGGAGGUAUCAGAAGGUUUAUGCCUGUAAUCCCAGCACUUUGGGAGGCUGAGGUGGGAGGAUCACUUGAGGCCAGGAGCUCAAGACCAGCAUGGGCGGCAUAGUGAGACCCUAUCUCUACAAAAAAUAAAAUG